ACGUUCCCUUCGCCUUUCGUCUUUAACGUAAUCAAUUUCAUCUUCAUUGUCAAUGUCAGCAUUGCAUUCAUAUUUUUUUCCUGUUUUGUGCAUAGAUUCAACCUUUGUUCUUGGAUAACUGUCAAAAAGACGUUGGAAUCAAAACGACUCUGGUUUUUAAAACCCCAGACGUCCCACUCAAAGAUACAAGCAUUAAGAAGAUUCAACGUAGUGUGUCGUCAUUUUCGUCAUCAGACUUUUUUGCUGUCAAUAUCACCUGGUCUAGGCCAGUAUUCAACUACAGCUCUAUCACAUCGUACAAUGUUACAUAUAACAUGGAAAGGGAUCCGACAAAAUCCAACCUAACGACAAACCAGUGGUUUUUUGUCCGAGGACUUGAUUUUCGACAAUCAUUAAAUUAUCAGGU